GAAAAGCAGUGUUAUUCUGUGCCGUGGGCUCUUCCAAGCGAUGAAACUAUAAUUCACAAAGUGAUAGAUAACAGAAGGUUAUUCACAGAUCAGUGGGUUUUCCAGCUAAUACAGGUCUGAUGCUCUUCUGUCUUCACACAUGGUAUUCAUCAUAUCUUGACAAGAAAAGACCUUCAGUCUACAAAUAACCUUCACUGAAGUAAGACAUUUCUGGGCCUACAAGGAUGCUGAUGGGAUAAGGGUGGAAUCAACCAGAAUGAUUUCUCCAAUGAAGGCAAAUGAAUCAGUACAAGAGAAAACAAUAUGCAUGUCAACAGCCAAGGUUGCACACUGACACCAGUACUGCUAGGAAUAAAGACAUGGCCAUAGCCUCCAUUCUAAAAACCUGGGUCUACAGAGAGAUUUUAGAUGGAAGCCCCAUGAGGAUGCAGACGUGUCUGGUUCACCACGGCCACCAGAGUAUGAGAGUGUGCCUGGACCACAGCAGAUCCUCAGAAAGCACCUUUUGAACAAAUGAAUGAUGGAACAUUCUCACCAGUGUGGCAGUUAAACACAGAACCUAACUGCUCCAAAGAGAUGGAUAAGUAGGUUCACAUAUUCAAAUAUCUGCCUUGCAUGUGAAGUUUACACCUUUGUUCCACUUACAACUCAAGGAUGCGGAACACAGGACAUAUGGAGAAAGGCUGAACUUAAAGUGAAUUUCAGGACCAUCUUCCCAGCCCACUUUCUCAUGAUCUCCAUUAUUAUUUUGCAAUUCUAGCCCAGAGAGGAGGCUUCAAGC